rnacentral:ncRNA from 2 species
UGGCUAUUUCUGUGUUGUGGCUGCGCAUCCCCGCGCACCACGACACCGGAAAAGGCGCGAGGCAAGAGGGAAUCCGGUGAGAAUCCGGAACUGCCCCGCAGCGGUGAGAGAGAACGACAAGCGGCAGAAGCACUGGCCCCCAGCCGGGAAGCGCCGCCCAGUAGGACCACCGGGAACACCCCGGAACGCUCUCCAGUCCGAAGACCUGCCGACACCCGGGGCAACCA